CGUGUGUGUGUGUGUGUGUGUGUGCGUGCGUGCGUGCGUGCGUGUGCGUGCGUGGUUGUGUGGUAUUGCAGAAAUGGUGCACGACAUAGGAUCGAGGGUAAUUUGAUACACUGCAACAACAUAAAAAGUGCCACAAGAUUUUCCAUUUCAAAUAUUUGCAUGACUAGUUGUUGGACGCCAUUAAUCCUCUAGAAUCUCGUAUUCCAUGCUUUUAUUUUGUCAAAGUGGCAAAAGUUGUUUACUGUUUAUUGUUAUUUCUAGAAAAGGAUCAGAACCGAAAUGAUGGACACAAAGACAGACAUAAAUCUGCUGAGCAUGUUCAGUAGAAGAUUCCUGGCAAGAGUUGUUGACUUUGUCAUGGCUGGUGGACUAGUGAAGGCCAUUGUUUGCUUUGACUGUGUUUCCACUGCCUGUCAGCAGUGAUGCUGAAGUCUGGGCCGGGCAGCUUUCAUUGUUGCUGCCACUGAUAAUCUUAGCAGCCACAGCUUGGCAGUAGCGUUGCAUUCUGGAUCACUUUCAACUCCAGCAGUCACCGCAGUGAUUGUGACGCUGAGCAGGGACGCAGAGUUUUGUUGUAUGUGCAGAUGGCUGAGCAGAAUGCAGGCAGACUGAAAAUAUCUUACUCCACCAUGAGUCACAGAAUCCUAUGAAGAAUAGAUUGAUCGGCUGGUUAUUAGACUCUCUCCUCAUGCAGUGUUUGAAAGUAUAGUUGUUCUUGAUCAAAGUUAUGGUUGUAUUCAUUGAUGGACUAAACAACAACAAAGAUAGCAUAAACAACUACAUGAGUGUCUUGCUCCUAUGUAGGAGUGGGGGUGGGGCCUGUUGCAUGUAGAUCUAUUUUAAUUAUCCACCCAUAAAGUGAAAUGUUUCAAUUUGUUUAAAGUUUUCAUUAAUCUGUAAAUGUAAAUGAAAGUUCUGUAUACAGUCGUAACAGACUGGCCUUGCUGUCUUGGUUUGUAUCUGGCUGUAUGAACAUAUCACAUCCAACUCAUGGCUGAUACAGACUGACAAAAAUAUUGUUUCUAUUUUGAUCUGCCAUGUUUAUGAUAUCUCAAGUCUGGAUGCCUGCACCAUCAGUACACAACUCAAAAUGCUUUCACUGAGUGAAUUGUCAAAAAACAUGUCAAUAUUUUAUUUAUUUUCUUAGAGAUUUACUUGUUUAACCUUCCUUGAUUAAUUAUUCUCUCAUAACCAAUUUUCAAGACAAACACCAUGACCCUUUACCUGCAUCCAAACUUGUUUGUGUUUCAGCAGUGCACUGUACUGCAAUAAUAACUGGGUGAGACUUUGCUGUGACAUCUCUUUUAUAUGAGUCAUGAUUUAAAAAAGGGACAUCUCUUAUGUUAUUUGUUGCAAAUAAACACUGUAAACUAUUAGCGGAAUGUGUCAUAGCUUUUGAGCUGCUGAGAUAAUCCCUUGUUUAAUACAGAGUUUAAAUUUGUAUUGCUUAAUACUAACAUGACAUUGAUGUAUUUAUAACAGAUUUCAGUUUUAGCUAUCUUCAUUCCCUCACAAGGUGUGGUAGUAAAGACCCUUGAAGACCCGUCACAUGGUGGUGUAACUGGUGUUUCAGAAGACCUUUCACCAUGAAUUGCGACAUUCUUAAUGGAGGUGUGGCGUGUGCUGCACAGGUGGCUGAGUUCCCACUGGGAGGGGGAGCAGGGAGGAUGACUUUAUGUGAGACCCAGAUCUGACACCUGCACAACAGACACACGGUAAUGGAGAACACAGGUUUUAUUCCACAUCUGGGAUUGCAUGCCAACAGAACCACUGGUAUAUAAACACAGGAUAGGGAAGGCCAUGCAUGCAUGUACUGUAUACUGUCUGUGUUUACUUUGUAUUUGUCUAGACCACAUGUAUAGUUUUGUUCUGCAUUAUCAGUUGACUAAACAAUUGGGUUCAGAGAGUACAGAGACACACUGGAGAACAUAAACGGCUCCACAGAAUAUACCAAGAUAGUAAAGAAAUAUACUAAAACUGUCAACUUGGUAGUGUUUUUAUACAGUUGCAAAACACAACCAAGAGUCAGUUUUAGUCUGUGUAGAUCAUUCUGCCUUCCAUCUGUUUGGUUAAUUGAUUGUACCUGCUCUAUAAUCUCCAGCCCUGUGACCUUUAUCAGUAUUCUCUGAUAACAGCUUCCUUGUCUCUGCUCACACCUGUGGCUCUCAGAGGGAAUAACUGUUGAGUCAGGGGAGGGAGCCCGGGGUCUCCCUGGUCUUAUAAAAAAAACAAGGGAGUAUAAAUCAGCUCAACAUGAGCAUGUAGCAAAAAGCUUUUCUACCCUCUUUGAUUUCUUUUACAACCUCAUGUGUUGCGGUAUUCAGCAGCGGUACAACGGGCUGCGUUUUUGCCAGUAAUGAUUGAUUGAAAACACGCGCUGUGUUUAACUCUUCAGCCCUACCCUAUAUUUAUUAUUUAAACAGCGGUUCACAAUCUUAACUUAGGUACGGUUACUUGUUGAUUCGAAUACCUGUGCUCUAGACCAAUAAAGUGCCAUUGAUAGAACAUAAUAUCAUUCUUUGUUUUAGAAAAACUCCAUAGGCCCCUAAAGGCAUCCCUACAAAAUGCACAUGCUUGUAAACACUAUUUGUCUCCAAAUGAAUAAUCCUACGUUUGGUAUAACUGUGUCACCUUUGUACGUAGGAGCAAAAACAUCUGUGGUCUUGACUCAGAAAGCGUGAUCUACCCUCCACUUCCCUGCUUGGUUGAAGAAAGAGGAAGCCAUUAAUGGGCCAUCUGACGAUGUCCUUUUGCUUAAACAUUACCCUUGCACUCAACCCUUUUAUCUGUGUCUGAUUGAUGGGGCUUUGGGGGCCCUGAGUGCUCCUGCAGGUCCUGCGUCGCUUCCUAAUUGCUGCCUUUGCCCCAGCUUCAAGCUUCUCUAUCCCGAGGGAAACUUCACCAUUAAUUCUACAACUUCAUGGUAUAUCAAUCAGAGACUCCCGGGACGAGACCCAUGGGUGCAAAGCGGAGAGGAGACCUAAACUGAGAGGAAGCUCUUUCCUUUCGUGCUGUGAACUACAAACAAGAACUGUUGUGGGACCUGUGUGCCUGCAGUAUAUUUACCCUUACUAUUAAACAGUCUUGAUGAAAAAAGAGGAAUAUGAUGUUUCUCUCUACAGAUAUAACUCACUGAGGAGGAGGUGCAGAGUAGGUGUUACAAAAUAUCAUAACCUUGGCUUGGACACUUUUUUAUUUUUAAGUAGUGAAAAUACUGUUAAUUGUAAUAACUCAAGCAGUGGGUAAAACUUGGCCAGAACUGUAAGCAAUAGCUUGGUCAUAGUUUGUAUCCUGAUAUUUUGUGUUCCAUUUCAUUUGUCUCAUAGAUUGUUUAUUGUGUGUUUAUGAUUAUCUGAAAAUAUUUUCACAUGUGAAUGUCUAAUCAUUGCUGUUAUUUUAUUUUAAUUUUGGUCAUUUGUACAUUCAUUUUGAAGCUUCUGAUUUUUUCAUAAAAACAUGUGAUCACAUAACUUUAACUUUUGAUCAUUUUAGUUUAUUUUGCUCUAAAUACUGUACUUUUACUUAAGUAAAACAUGGAACAAAGAACUUGUAUUUGACUUUUUUAUAGUGUCCUUUUCUCUACUUUUACUCGGAUAAAGGUUCUAAGUAGUUCCUCAAAACAUCUGUUAUUUCAAGUAAAUGUGUAGAGAACAUGUAUAAAAUGAAAGCCAAGCAUUAUUAGGACCACUUGUUCUGACAACAGAGGCAAAUCAGCAAGGUCAGCACAGAAAUUGGAUCAUAUUAUGUCUUCCUUUUUCUAAAAAACGGACGUUUAGUGGUGAGUGUAUUUUUCGAGAAGUGCAUCAAAGUUACCAAAAAGGAAUUUUCCAGGAACCUGAGCGUCCUGUUCCCUGAAACCCCAUCUGAGAAAACCUGCGUACUUGGUGCUUCUUGUCAGCACUUCAGAAAACUUCUUCUUCCCAACAUCCAUCUCUCUCCUGCAGAAUUAUCCCAGGUGAAUAUGAACUUUCAAAGAAACCAUAGUGGAAUGCACUGUAAUGGUCUUUUCAUCAGAUGGAGCAGCAGCCUGUACUACCUGAAGCAACAGACAGGCUCCAUUUCCUCUAAUAAAAAUAUGUUACAGUG